rnacentral:tRNA from 1 species
GGUGGAGCAGCUUGGUAGCUCGUCGGGCUCAUAACCCGAAGGUCGUUGGUUCAAAUCCAGCCCCCGCAACCA